rnacentral:tRNA from 1 species
GCCCGUGUGGCUAAGUGGAUAGAGCGUCGGCCUGUGGUCUGAAGGGUCCCAGGUUCGAUUCCUGGUCAGGGCA